rnacentral:rRNA from 1 species
AUUGAACGCUGGCGGCAUGCCUUACACAUGCAAGUCGAACGGCAGCGGGGACUUCGGUCCGCCGGCGAGUGGCGAACGGGUGAGUAAUGUAUCGGAACGUACCUUUCAGUGGGGGAUAACGUAGCGAAAGUUACGCUAAUACCGCAUAUUCUGUGAGCAGGAAAGCAGGGGAUCGCAAGACCUUGCGCUGAUGGAGCGGCCGAUAUCAGAUUAGCUAGUUGGUGGGGUAAAGGCCUACCAAGGCUACGAUCUGUAGCGGGUCCGUGAGGAUGAUCGGCCACAGUGGGACUGAGACGCGGGCCAGAUGCCCACGGGAGGCAGCAGUGGGGAAUUUUGGACAAUGGGGGCAACCCUGAUCCAGCCAUGCCGCGUGAGUGAAGAAGGCCGUCGGGUUGUAAAGCGCUUUCGGACGGGAAGAAAGCGCAUUGGCUAAUAUCCAGUGUGGAUGACGGUACCGUAAUAAGAAGCACCGGCUAACUACGUGCCAGCAGCCGCAGUAA